UACAGAGGGGGCAAGCGUUGUCCGGAAUUACUGGGCGUAAAGGGCGCGUAGGCGGCCUGUUAAGUCGGACGUGAAAUCCCUCGGCUCAACCGGGGAACUGCGUCCGAUACUGGCGGGCUUGAAUUCGGGAGAGGGAUGUGGAAUUCCAGGUGUAGCGGUGAAAUGCGUAGAUAUCUGGAGGAACACCGGUGGCGAAGGCGGCAUCCUGGACCGACAUUGACGCUGAGGCGCGAAAGCCAGGGGAGCAAACGGG
rnacentral:rRNA from 1 species